rnacentral:tRNA from 1 species
AAGAUUUUAAGUUAAAAAAACUAUUAACCUUCAAAGUUGAAAUUAUAAGACUAAUUAUAAGUCUUA